GAAACGACUGCUAAUACCGCAUGACGCAUUUUGAUCGCAUGGUCGAAAUGCCAAAGAUUUAUCGCUGAAAGAUGGCCUCGCGUCUGAUUAGAUAGUUGGCGGGGUAACGGCCCACCAAGUCGACGAUCAGUAGCCGGACUGAGAGGUUGACCGGCCACAUUGGGACUGAGAUACGGCCCAGACUCCUACGGGAGGCAGCAGUGGGGAAUAUUGGGCAAUGGGCGCAAGCCUGACCCAGCAACGCCGCGUGAAGGAAGAAGGCUUUCGGGUUGUAAACUUCUUUUAAGUGGGAAGAGCAGAAGACGGUACCACUUGAAUAAGCCACGGCUAACUACGUGCCAGCAGCCGCGGUAAUACGUAGGUGGCAAGCGUUGUCCGGAUUUACUGGGUGUAAAGGGCGUGCAGCCGGGCAUGCAAGUCAGAUGUGAAAUCUCAGGGCUUAACCCUGAAACUGCAUUUGAAACUGUAUGUCUUGAGUGCCGGAGAGGUAAUCGGAAUUCCUUGUGUAGCGGUGAAAUGCGUAGAUAUAAGGAAGAACACCAGUGGCGAAGGCGGAUUACUGGACGGUAACUGACGGUGAGGCGCGAAAGCGUGGGGAGCGAACAGGAUUAGAUACCCUGGUAGUCCACGCUGUAAACGAUGAAUGCUAGGUGUGCGGGGACUGACCCCCUGCGUGCC
rnacentral:rRNA from 1 species